rnacentral:rRNA from 1 species
UACGUAGGUGGCAAGCGUUGUCCGGAUUUACUGGGCGUAAAGAGCGCGCAGGCGGUCGUUCAAGUCGCGUGUGAAAGCCCACGGCUCAACCGUGGAGGGUCAUUGGAAACUGGGGGACUUGAGUACAGAAGAGAAGAGUGGAAUUCCACGUGUAGCGGUGAAAUGCGUAGAGAUGUGGAGGAACACCAGUGGCGAAGGCGACUCUUUGGUCUGUAACUGACGCUGAGGCGCGAAAGCCAGGGGAGCGAACGGG